rnacentral:rRNA from 1 species
AUUGAACGCUGGCGGCAGGCUUAACACAUGCAAGUCGAGCGGAGAUGAGGUGCUUGCACCUUAUCUUAGCGGCGGACGGGUGAGUAAUGCUUAGGAAUCUGCCUAUUAGUGGGGGACAACAUUCCGAAAGGAAUGCUAAUACCGCACACGUCCUACGGGAGAAAGCAGGGGAUCUUCGGACCUCGCGCUAAUAGAUGAGCCUAAGUCGGAUUAGCUAGUUGGUGGGGGAAAGGCCUACCAAGGCGACGAUCUGUAGCGGGUCUGAGAGGAUGAUCCGCCACACUUGGACUGAGACACGGCCCAGACUCCUACGGGAGGCAGCAGUGGGGAAUAUUGGACAAUGGGGGAAACCCUGAUCCAGCCAUGCCGCGUGUGUGAAGAAGGCCUUAUGGUGUAAAGCACUUUAAGCGAGGAGGAGGCUACUGAGACUAAUACUCUUGGAUAGUGGACGUUACUCGCAGAAUAAGCACCGGCUAACUCUGUGCCAGCCGCCGCGGUAA